UAGUUCAGUUGUUAGAGCAUGGUGUUUGCAACGCCAGGGUUGUGGGUUUGAUUCCCAC
rnacentral:tRNA from 1 species